rnacentral:rRNA from 1 species
ACGCUCGACACCUACGGGGGCAGCAGUGGGGGAUAUUGCACAAUGGGGGAAACCCUGAUGCAGCAACGCCGCGUGAAGGAAGAAGGUCUUCGGAUUGUAAACUUCUGUCCUCAGGGAAGAUAAUGACGGUACCUGAGGAGGAAGCUCCGGCUAACUACGUACCAGCAGCCGCGGUAAUCUGAGCGGGCUGGCAAGGC